GGCUGGUCUAAGUGCAGUGGUGUUUACAACUAAUUGAUCACUAACAGUCACAGAUUCCUUUGUUCCUUCUCCACUCUCACUGGUUCACUUGACUAGUCUUAA
rnacentral:Y_RNA from 1 species